CAUAUGCUGAGCCCGGCUUUUCUGCAUAUCUAAUUUAGAUCGCUGCAAUUGAACAGACUAUCCGGAGCCCUCCUACCCUGUGCUGAGCUGCAUCUGAUUGGCUGUGGCGAUAUGUGCGUUUCGUUAACUUCUGCCCAUUGACAUAUUAAAUGAAGAUGCACAGGGGAGCGACAUCAGUGAUUUCAAUUGACUCGUCAAUUGCCAGUACAUAGCCCUCAUCAGGCUUCGCUUUGCUAACAAGCUGAUCCAGCACAUGUGACAACAAGGAGGCCAGUCCUUCAAACAAAUGACAUGUUUGAUAAAGAAAUCUUUUCAAACUCAUUAUGCGUUUCGUUUAGCUUUUGUCUUUUGCCCUAGUAUAGCAUCUGUUGCAGGAGGCAUCCGUCCCUUCCUUGAUCGUUGCUGCAUCUUCUGUGAUUGGAGUGUCUUGUCUGCUAAGAGAUGGGAAGUGUAGCUUCUGUUUGUCCCUGUUGUAACGUUGGACUCUGGCCUCUCUGCCUUCCUCAGCUGAGAUUUAAUCUUGUGAAUGAGGCUGCCUUAAGGCAUUAUCCUAAGAUUCUCUAAUAAAAAGGCAAUGUCCUGGAAGAGCUAGGGGUGGAGGGAAGAGUGCCUCUCUGUAAUCUAGGAGCCUUCGAGAAGGAAAUCUGGGGGUUUUUGGCCCACGUGGUAACACAGAGGUGAUAAAACUUCCCAUUGCUUUUGUGAGGCUUGGACAAUUGCAGAGAUGAAAAAUCACAGUUGUGUUGUAAAUAAGAUGUUUGCAAUUCCCUCCUUGGGGAGUAGUGUUUAACUUCAUCUUUUGCUUAUGUGCACGAAACUAAAUACAUGCGUAUGUCUGGAUUCUGGAUUGCAUGCAUCUGGCUCCAUUAGAUUUCAUGUAAUUGCAUAUUGACUAAUGGCAUAAUACAGCUAUUUGACGACUGAAUUGAGGUCCAAAUGCUGCUAUUAGCAGUGUAAUCACUUUGGAUAAGUGAAUAGUUGGACUGUAGUACUUGAAAAUCAGAAACCGGGAGAAUAACCGUUCCGGGGUUUUCAAGGGAAAAGACCCAUUGUAACGUUUUGACUCAGAUGUAAACUAUUAUGAAUUCUAAUUUGUAGGUCAUGAGGAAAAGUAAUUGUGGUAAUUGUGAGACCUCUCAAUGCUUCAAAACUAAUGCCCUGUGCUGUCUUUUCAUUGCUUAUAUAUAAUAUAUAUGUAUGUAUAUAAACAUUUUCUUUUGCGAGUGAAGUGAUUUCAGAGUCUACAUGUGCUAUAAAUCUUUUAAUUAAAUAUGAAAUCUUUUGGAAAAGGUAAUUAUGUAUUUGUUUUUAAUCUGUGUUCAGUUCUCCGAAUGCACAGCCC
rnacentral:lncRNA from 1 species